CUUCUGCGCCCUUACAAAUAGAGUGGGUGGAUAGAGGCGGCUGUCCCCUCCGAAUUGGUGAGAGAGCAGCUAAACAUCCCACAGUGGGGACACAGUCCCCUUUCUUGCUGAGAGAAGAGCCUGAAAUAGCCCCAGGGGCGGAGAAAGGUUGAGUCUGGCGGUCCUCUGACCACUAAGGUUAAAGACUUCGGGGACUCCCGACGCCUCCAGCAAGCCAGGUUAGCAGGUUUUAACUCAGGCCUGGGAAUGACCGAGACCUAAGGACUUUACAGUACACUCUAGACUGCUGCUGCUGUUCUUUGCGCCCAGCCUCACCAAAGGCUGAGUCACUGGAGCAUCUAUCUGCACGCUGGUGCGGUUUCGACUUUCGCCCAAGUGCAUAGUGCCACAAACAACCAAGCUAGAAUAAUAGCUAAUCCAGUUUAAUUUCUGAGGUCUGCACCUCUGACUGCGACAUCUGACGGGGCUUUGUCCCCCCAACACUGCCAUCCGGAGGCAUCAGACCUUCACGUGAGUUUGGAUGAGGAUGAACUGCACAGCAUCGAUCAGACGGAAUGUGGAAUUAGAGUGGAAAGCAAUAAUUCUGAGAAAAAGUGAGAACGCUUCGUGUGAGCAUGCAGCAGUACCGUAAAAAGAAGAAAAAAAAAUUCUGCAUAAAAAGAAAUGCGUACAAAUCUUGUUCCGGUCAGCGGGGAUGAGAGCAACCCCUUGCCUUGUGGUUCUGUCCCUGCUUGGCAGACAGAAGCAGGAGCCAGAGACUCUGCUCGGCCUGCAGACGGUGGCCUGUGCUGCUCUGCUGAGUCACUGUCUGACAGUGACAGGGCACAAAGUGUGCCACAGGACUGCAAACAGCUUUAUGCUGUAGGAAGGAUAAACAUCACGGAAGGCAGAAAAUCCUCUACCCUGUCUCUGCUGAGAGAGAGUCUCACUACAUUUCUAGGCUUGUCUUAAACUUAUAAUCCUCCUGCCUCAGCCCCUCCAAGUGCUGGAUCUAUAUGGGUGUAGUACCAAGUCCAGUAAAAUGUGUUAUUUAAAAAAACAAAUCCGUUAUGGUUCUGGAGUGAUGGCUCAGUGGUUAAGAGGAUCUGGGUUUGGUUCCCAGCACCCACUUAGUGGCUCACAGACAUCUGUAACUCCAGUCCUUAGGGAUCCAACGCGCUCUUCUGGCUUCUGGGCAUACCAGGCACAUACUUGUCACACAGAAAUACAGUCAGAGAAAACACCCAUAGACAUAAAAUAAUUUUAAAUAAAAAUAAAUAAGUAAACCUUAAUUUGUUUUUUUUUUAAAUCAGCUAUGGGAUUGGAGUGAUGGCUCAGUGGCUAAGAGCACUGGCUGCUCUUGCAGAGGACCUGGGUUGAGUUCCCAACACUUACCUGACGACACACAGCCACCUAUAACUCUAGUUCCAGGGGAUCCGAUGCCCUCUUCUGGUCUCCACAGGCACUAGGCACUUAAAUGGUAUGUCUGCAUGCGUGCAGGCGCCCACAGAUGCAAAAUAAAAUGAUUUU
rnacentral:lncRNA from 1 species